CCCAGCAAGGAUUAAGAAACAAGCCCCAUCCCGUGUGAUCUCAGAAGCUAAGGAGGGUCGGGCCUGGUUAGUACUUGGAUGGGAGACCGCCUAGGAAGACCAGGUGCUGCAGGCC
rnacentral:rRNA from 1 species